rnacentral:lncRNA from 1 species
AUGAGAGCCUCUCCUUUUUGCAGUGAAACUGGACCUGGGUCCUACGUCACUGCCCAAAGAGAUGGUGCUGGCUGUGUCACAGUAACCGCCCUGCGGGGGAAGAGCAGCGCUCAGACGGCUGCCGUGAGGUCGCUGCUGGGCUCUGGGCCGGAUGCCCGCGUGAAGGCCUUGAAAUGUCUCUAUCGCUCCUCAGUAGAAGAUCUACCUCCUCAGUGAGCCACACGAGAUCUCUUAACACCGGUUUGGAAUUUCCAGAAUCUCUAGGAAGAGCUCAUGCCUGAGUGAUGUUAUUAGGCCACUGCAUGGCAAGAAGAGAGGAAUGCAAAAGCACAUAUCAUUUCAACCUGUGAUAUUGGGUGUAUCCAAGAAUCUCCAUCAGAGAGCCCCAGGAAGAAUGUGCCAUUGCCUAGCAAGGGAGGAAGGAGGCUGGCUUCACAGGCCUGCCUGGUGAAAGGCGGUGUUCAGGCUGGCAGUAUUGGAAUGGCAUUUACACUGGACAACCAUGGGGUGUAUGUGCAGUAAACCAUGUCUGUGAGGCCCAAAGAGAGCAAGUGUUGUAGCAAGCCCUGCUGCUGAGCACAUGGUCCACAUUCCUCAUACAGGGGACAGCAUGAUACAUCCUCUCAGGGAGUAAUACUAGAAAGAUCCAUUUCUCUCCAGUCAAAAUGACCAUGAUCCCUUGAAUCAGGCAAAGGUAGGCUUUAUCCUUCCUGCGCCUCUACCUUGACUCCCCAAAAAAGAGUAAAAGUGAACUAUUUUUAGCCUGGUUUCUGGGAUAGCUAUCUCUCUUCACCCGCACCACCCCUCCUCCAUCUUCCUAUGGCAAUCAAAUGUUGUGUGGCAAUCAACAUUUAGGUCUAUACUUGCAGAUAUAUACAGUCCUACUCCGAAUACAUCUCUUAGGGUAAGUCAUACCACCCUCUCAAAGCAAGGAAAGAAGAGUUAAGCUGGAGGAUUUCCUGAGAGGUUAAUUCGAAGCUGAACUGUGAGGCUCAAGUUCCACUCUGAUUUACUUAAAUAAUUGAAAGGAUUUACUCCCUUCCCCUUACCCAGAACUGGAUGGACAAAAUAAAUGUUAAAAUUUGUUUGCUGAAGAGUUCAGUACAGAAGUUAAGAAGACACUAGAGUGUUUCCCAAAUACUGUGAGAGGGAGGGAAAGAGAAGGGGAAGGAAGGAGGACAGAAGAAGAAAAGAAGGAGCGAGAAAUAAGUUAUGGCCUAAGGACAUCACUUUAAACCACAGGUAGAGCCUAAGCCUAGAAUAACCGCUGUGUAGUGACCCUGGCCAAUUCUCCCCACCAGGUGCAUAAUACUGGCAUCGGGAGGCUCAGGCCUAGACUGGCAGAGCGACAAGUGAUCCAGGCCACAUCUCAGGAGUUGACAGCUGCCUAAAAGGUGCUGAGAAGCUAAUAAAGCCUAAAGAAAUUUGCUGAGUAUUUUUCAGACCCCUUCAUUGUAACGUCCAGUGGUGUCCAAUGAUCUUAAUUAUAUGUUGCAGAG